GUCGAGCGGUAACAUUUCUAGCUUGCUAGGAGAUGACGAGCGGCGGACGGGUGAGAAUGCUUGGGAAUAUGCCUUAUGGUGGGGGACAACAGUUGGAAACGACUGCUAAUACCGCAUAACGUCUACGGACCAAAGGGGGGGAUCUUCGGACCUCUCGCCAUUUGAUUAGCCCAAGUGAGAUUAGCUAGUUGGUGAGGUAAUGGCUCACCAAGGCGACGAUCUCUAGCUGGUUUGAGAGGAUGAUCAGCCACACUGGGACUGAGACACGGCCCAGACUCCUACGGGAGGCAGCAGUGGGGAAUAUUGCACAGUGGGCGAAAGCCUGAUGCAGCCAUGCCGCGUGUGUGAAGAAGGCCUUCGGGUUGUAAAGCACUUUCAGUUGUGAGGAAAGGGGAGUAGUUAAUAACUGCUUUCUGUGACGUUAACAACAGAAGAAGCACCGGCUAACUUCGUGCCAGCAGCCGCGGUAAUACGAGGGGUGCAAGCGUUAAUCGGAAUUACUGGGCGUAAAGCGUUCGUAGGCGGUCUAUUAAGCAAGAUGUGAAAGCCCAGGGCUCAACCUUGGAACUGCAUUUUGAACUGGUAGACUAGAGUACUGUAGAGGGUGGUGGAAUUUCCAGUGUAGCGGUGAAAUGCGUAGAGAUUGGAUAGGAACAUCAGUGGCGAAUGCGGUCCACCUGGGACAGAUACUGACGCUGA
rnacentral:rRNA from 1 species